UGGAGAGGACACCACUGAAUAUAGUCACAGUGAUUUUGAAGAGCUCUGGCAAGGUAGCCCUGACACAGGCGACGUUGUCUCUGUGGCCUGAUGAACUGUAAAUCAUCUGGUCAUUCAUAGUGUCCUCUGGCUCACCAGAGCUCCCUGUCCCAGGAAAAGUCUCCAGCUUCAAUGAUGCAGGCUCUGGACUUGUAGAUGUAGUGAGACAGGUAAGAAGCUUGGCAUCACUUGACCCGGCUACUUGAGAAGCUGCCUCUCCUGUGCCAUGCUGAGUUUGGAAAAGCUCCAUCCUUUCCAAGUUUUACUAAAGAAACCUGUGCUUCCCAGAACACUGUAUACUAUGUAUAAAUAUCACGAUACAGCCAGGGUUAUGCUGCAAUACUUUCUAGCCUCUACAUUCAAUAGCACACUCAAAUUGUACCUAUGUAACCAAGGGCUGGUCCAGGAGGUUGCACUGGUGUCCCUGAACUGUCCUUUGAUUCCUGCUCCAAACAAAUUUUAAAACCAACUGCCUAGCAGUUGCAGCAGCAUUUCUAGUCAGGCAGUGCUGAGAGAGUCCUUUGAUUUCAUGGCUCAUUAGAAUUGACCUGAUCCCUUCUAAACUCUUCAUUUCACAGGUGUUAAUGACCCUCUCUUCUUUUUAAUGAUAUUGAUCUUCCACCAAUUAGGCUAUCCUUUGUUCUGCAGUUAUGCUGCCUGUUAACUGUUCAUGCAAAUGAAAGCCCUAUUUCACAGCCCUGCAGAUUGUUUUUAACCCAUUUCAAUGAAGUUAUGGCUUUUGUUUCAAUCUUAAACUGAAUAAUAAAGCCCGAGGCCAUAACACAUUAGUAAAGCUUCUAGUUUAUUUUUAACUGGAGAAAAAUAUGUUGUUUUAUAUGUAAUGAUGCACCUCCCUCAACACACACACUGUUUUCAGAAUUCUAGAUCCACCAUGUAUGUAACCUAUGAUCACUAUGCCUGAUCUACAAAUGAUAUCAGACUCCAAUAACUCUUGGCUACAGGAACUGGAUCUUUGGCUCAAAUUAUAGAAACUCUUGCUUUUAUGUUUCAGUCCCACCCCAGGCAAGACAAUAUCAGUCAAAUAAGAUCAGGGUGCAUAUCUUGGCAUAUCCCUGGGUUAUUGAACUGAAGACUUCCAGUGCUAAAAGCAGAAGUUAGCUUUAUCUUGAACUAAAGAGACUGAUUCUGUAGUUGAACUUUAUAACAGAUAUGUAUCUUCUGUGUAUAUGGUUCAAAUUAUGGCUGGUGUUUACACCAUUAAAUCUUUAUUAAAGACAUCAUCCUCAAACCCCUUCCAGGCAUCAAAUUUUCUGCCCUGGAAGCAGUGGUUCAUGCUCUUCCCUGCAAUAUCAUGAUGCAUUACUUGUGCCUUAUGCUGAGACCCACUGUAAGUUCUUCCAUUUUCCUAGUUUCCAGGAAUCCACAUCCCUUAUUCCUCUUGUAAAUCUCCACAAAUGCACUUAUGUCCAUGAACAGGACCUACUCUACCAUGCCCUCCCUGAACUCCUUGAGUUGCUAUGGCAGAGUAGCGUACUGAAUACAGAGAGGGUAGAGAGGGUUGAACACUGAACCUUGUAAUUUGUAGCUAGAUGCGAGUCAGAAGAAUGGAUUUGCAGAAGGUAAACAAAUUUACCCAAACCAUCCCUUCUUCACGACCCCUCACCAGCAUCUUUGACCUCAAGCUGCCCUAUGUUAGGUCAGCAGGUUAUCAUGCUUAUAGAUCCUAGGGGACUUGCGCUGCCCAAAACCCACCAUUUUUCUCUCUCUCUCUUUGUAAAUCAUGACAGAAAAAGUGUCUUAAAGAAAAAUAAAAGACAGAAUUUUCUUCACUUAUUUUUCUGUUUUUCACAUCUAUUUCAUUCAGUUUUCAUGUGGGUAGAUGUUUUAUCAUGCUUCAGCAUAUAUUUUAAAAAUGUUUUUAUUCUUGACUAUAAAACAUGAAUAAACAUGUUAAUAACAAUAAUAAAACUUCUG